CAUGAGGAUGGGCGCAGCCUGAUCCAGCCAUGCCGCGUGAGUGAUGAAGGCCUUAGGGUUGUAAAGCUCUUUCGUCCGGGACGAUAAUGACGGUACCGGAAGAAGAAGCCCCGGCUAACUUCGUGCCAGCAGCCGCGGUAAUACGAAGGGGGCUAGCGUUGUUCGGAAUCACUGGGCGUAAAGGGCGCGUAGGCGGCUUGAUAAGUCGGGGGUGAAAGCCUGUGGCUCAACCACAGAAUUGCCUUCGAUACUGUCUGGCUUGAGACCGGAAGAGGUAAGUGGAACUGCGAGUGUAGAGGUGAAAUUCGUAGAUAUUCGCAAGAACACCAGUGGCGAAGGCGGCUUACUGGUCCGGUUCUGACGCUGAGGCGCGAAAGCGUGGGGAGCAAACAGGAUUAAAUACCCUGGUAGUCCACGCCGUAAACGAUGAAUGCCAGCCGUUGGCGAGCUUGCUCGUCAGUGGCGCAGCUAACGCUUUAAGCAUUCCGCCUGGGGAGUACGGUCGCAAGAUUAAAACUCAAUGAAAUUUGACGGA
rnacentral:rRNA from 1 species